UAGUCAUAUGCUUGUCUCAAAGACUAAGCCAUGCACGUGUCAGUUUAAAUUUUAACCUGGUGAAACUGCGAAUGGCUCAUUACAACAGCAAUCGUAUCCAUGCGUGUUUGUGCUACUCGGAUACCUGUAGCAAUUCUAGAGCUAAUACGUGCCAAUGGCGGGGCCUUACGGCGUCGCAGGGCUUAUUCGGUUCAAAAGCUGGCGCAUAGUCGGUGAUUCAGGAUAAUUUGGAGCGGGGCGAACCCGCGAGACCCGGACCUCACGCUCUUGCAGCGGAGGCGACGCAUUCUAGUUUCUGCCCUAUCAAGUAGUUGCGAAGGUCUUGUCUUCCCAAGCUUAUGACGGGUAACGGAAAAUUAGGGUUUGACUCCGGAGAGGGGGCUUGAGAAUUGGCCACCACAUCUAAGGUGAGUUUAUCUUAUUUCACUUCUUUCCAUCCUUUUGAGCUCUUAAUUUGGGCCGCAGCAAGGACUCUCCCAAUGAGGACAGCGCGAUCUGAAAAACUUUGAACUAACUUAAUUCCAAAAAUCAGGAAGGCAGCAGGCGCGCAAAUUCCCCAAUCCAGACAAUGGGAGGGAGUGACAGGAAAUAUUGAAGGCGGGGCGCAAGCCUUGCUUAUCGGAAUGAGAACAACUUAAUGAACUUAUCGAGUAACAAUU
rnacentral:rRNA from 1 species